UGGGGAAUAUUGCACAAUGGGCGCAAGCCUGAUGCAGCCAUGCCGCGUGUGUGAAGAAGGCCUUCGGGUUGUAAAGCACUUUCAGCGAGGAGGAAGGGUAGUGUGUUAAUAGCACAUUGCAUUGACGUUACUCGCAGAAGAAGCACCGGCUAACUCCGUGCCAGCAGCCGCGGUAAUACGGAGGGUGCAAGCGUUAAUCGGAAUUACUGGGCGUAAAGCGCACGCAGGCGGUUUGUUAAGUCAGAUGUGAAAUCCCCGCGCUUAACGUGGGAACUGCAUUUGAAACUGGCAAGCUAGAGUCUUGUAGAGGGGGGUAGAAUUCCAGGUGUAGCGGUGAAAUGCGUAGAGAUCUGGAGGAAUACCGGUGGCGAAGGCGGCCCUCUGGACAAAGACUGACGCUCAGGUGCGAAAGCGUGGGGAGCAAACA
rnacentral:rRNA from 1 species